ACACAUGCAAGUCGAACGGAGCUGAGAGGAGCUUGCUUUUCUUAGCUUAGUGGCGAACGGGUGAGUAACGCGUGAGUAACCUGCCCUGGAGUGGGGGACAACAGUUGGAAACGACUGCUAAUACCGCAUAAGCCCACGGCCCGGCAUCGGGCUGAGGGAAAAGGAUUUAUUCGCUUCAGGAUGGACUCGCGUCCAAUUAGCUAGUUGGUGAGGUAACGGCCCACCAAGGCGACGAUUGGUAGCCGGACUGAGAGGUUGAACGGCCACAUUGGGACUGAGACACGGCCCAGACUCCUACGGGAGGCAGCAGUGGGGGAUAUUGCACAAUGGGGGAAACCCUGAUGCAGCGACGCCGCGUGGAGGAAGAAGGUUUUCGGAUUGUAAACUCCUGUCGUUAGGGACGAUAAUGACGGUACCUAACAAGAAAGCACCGGCUAACUACGUGCCAGCAGCCGCGGUAAAACGUAGGGUGCAAGCGUUGUCCGGAAUUACUGGGUGUAAAGGGAGCGCAGGCGGACCGGCAAGUUGGAAGUGAAAACUAUGGGCUCAACCCAUAAAUUGCUUUCAAAACUGCUGGCCUUGAGUAGUGCAGAGGUAGGUGGAAUUCCCGGUGUAGCGGUGGAAUGCGUAGAUAUCGGGAGGAACACCAGUGGCGAAGGCGACC
rnacentral:rRNA from 1 species